rnacentral:rRNA from 1 species
AUGCCGCGUGUGUGAAGAAGGCUUCGGGUUGUAAAGCACUUUCAGUCAGGAGGAAACGGGUGUGAGUUAAUACCUCACAUCUGUGACGUUACUGACAGAAGAAGCACCGGCUAACUCCGUGCCAGCAGCCGCGGUAAUACGGAGGGUGCGAGCGUUAAUCGGAAUUACUGGGCGUAAAGCGUACGCAGGCGGUUUGUUAAGCGAGAUGUGAAAUGCCCCGGGCUCAACCUGGGCAACUGCAUUUCGAACUGGCAAACUAGAGUGUGAUAGAGGGUGGUAGAAUUUCAGGUGUAGCGGUGAAAUGCGUAGAGAUCUGAAGGAAUACCGAUGGCGAAGGCAGCCACCUGGGUCAACACUGACGCUCAUGUACGAAAGCGUGGGGAGCAAACGGGAUUAGAUACCCCGGUAGUCCACGCCGUAAACGAUGUCUACUAGAAGCUCGGAACCUCGGUUCUGUUUUUCAAAGCUAACGCAUUAAGUAGACCGCCUGGGGAGUACGGCCGCAAGGUUAAACACUC